AUGGAUCCGAUUCCUGCCCCUUCCCACGUGGAUCCCUGUGGGAUUCCUGCCUGUUCUCCCCUUCCCAAAUCGAUCCCUGUGGGAUUCCUGCCUGUUCUCCCCUUCCCAAAUCGAUCCCUGUGGGAUUCCUGCCUGUUCACCCUUUCCCACAUGGAUCCACGCAGGAUUCCUGCCCAUCCCUGCUCCCUGUGGGAUUCCUGCCCGUUCUCCCCUUCCCAAAUCGAUCCCUGUGGGGUUCCUGCCCGUUCUCCCCUUCCCAAAUCGAUCCCUGUGGGAUUCCUGCCUGUUCACCCUUUCCCACAUGGAUCCACGCAGGAUUCCUGCCCAUCCCUGCUCCCUGUGGGAUUCCUGCCCAUUCUCCCCUUCCCAAAUCGAUCCCUGUGGGGUUCCUGCCCGUCCCUGCACCCCAAAUCCGUGCCAGCAGGUGGGCGGCCCGGGCAGCACCACCCAGCUCCUGCCAUUUCUGCCCCUGCCCAUCCCAGACACUCUUCCCUGCCCCAGAAACCUGCCAGGACAAACAGGAUGCCACAGACCAUGGUUCAUCCAAGGGGAGGGGAAAAAAAAAAAAAAAACACGGGAAAACCGGCAUGGGAUCCGACACCUCGCAGCAGGGUGAGGUUGGUCAGGUUUUCCCAGGGUUUUCCAAGUUCUCUGUGCCCCCCAAAACCUGGGGAGGUCCAGGGAUGAAUCCAGGGAGACAAGGGAAGGUGUUUGGGAGGCUGGAAGUGCCUGGAUCCCAGAGAUUUUGGGUCAUGCCCUCCCCAAGAUGGAUUUUGGGGGUGUUUUCCACCCUAAACCCCCCCCCAGGAUGAAGAUCUGGGGGUGUCUUCCACCCUAAACCCUCCCUGCGAUGAAGAUUAAGGAGUGAUGCCCACCCUAAAUCCCCCUGGGUUGGAUUUUUGGGGGUGUUUUCCACCCUAAACCUAUCCUGGAUUGCAUUUUGGGGGUCUUGCUCCUGAGGUUAAAGGUUUGGGGGGUGUUUUCCACCCUAAACCCUCUGUGGGUUGGAUUUUGGGGGGUGUUUUCCACCCUAAAGCCUCCCCGGCUUGGAUUUUGGGGGUUGUUUUCCACCCUAAACCCUCUGUGGGUUGGAUUUUGGGGGGUGUCGCCCACCCUGAAGCCCCUCCAGGUUGGGUUUUCAGGGUGAUAUUUCCCCCUAAAUUCCCCUCGGGUUGGAUUUUAGGGGUGUUGGCCACCCUAAAGCCCCCCCCAGGCAGGAGAUUUGGGGGUGUUCACCACCCUUAACCAAUCCUGGGUUGGACUUUGGGGGGUCUUGCCCAGGCAGGUUGAUGAUCUGGGGGGCGUUUUCCACCCUAAAGCCCACCGGGUAGGAUUUUGGGGGGGGGUAUUUUUCACCCUGGAUUGGAUUUUGGGGUCGUUUUCCACCCUGGGUUGAAUUUUGGGGGGUGUUUUUGCACCCCUCAACCCCCCCCGCUCCAGGGAAAAGGGGGUGUCUGGCGGCCCCCCCAAACCCCUCCCGUGACUCCCCAGCACCCUGGGCAGUUUCCAGCCGGGAAUCCGAGCCGGGCUGUCCCUCCCGGGUUAUUUUUAGUGUCCCCCAGGGCUAUUUGGGGACAGCUGGCCCUGUCCCCGCGCCCACCUCGUGCCACUGAGGGGGGCACCGAGCCCCUUCCCCACUUCUUCCCUCCUGGGAAAACUCCGCAGCCCCAAAGAAAAAAGGGAAGAUCUUCCCAAACAAGGCGAGGUUUGGCUGAGCCACCAGAAAAUUCCAGGCUGGGAAAGGUCAGGGAAUGGAAGCAGGGAUUGGAAUUAUUUGGGAUAAAUCCAAAAGCCCCUUCCCCAAAUUUUUCCCCUCAGGAAAAGGCUCCAGGCCCAAAAUUUAAAGCAAGUGAGGGAAGAUUUGGGUGAGAGACCCGAAAAUUCCGGGCUGGGACAGGUCUGGGGUUCCCUGGGAGCAGGGAAUGGGGGGGUUGGGAUGAUUUGGGAUGAAUCCAGGAGCCCCUUCCCAGGCCUGGGAUCCACCCCCAGCCUUGAUAAUACCCAGGGAUUAAUUAGGCGCUAAUGAAGUUGGUCCUUCCUGCUCGUUCCAGCCGCAGUUAAAAGAUUUUCCUGCCCGAUCCGGUGCGGGGGCGGACCCGGCGCUUUCCCUCCUUGCCGUGGGGGUUCCUUUGGGAUGUUUGUGUUUGGUUGGGGUUUUUUUUGGUUAAAUCCCAAUCUCCAUUGAGUGAUCAUUUCCUUGGGGUCCCCUGGGGCUGGGACACCCCACUCUCCAUGGAGAGCCCCCCCAAAACUUGGGAACAUCAGCCCAGGGACACCCCAGCACUGGGAUCGCUGCUUUCCUGGGAACCCCCAGACCUACAGACCCCACCCCAAAACGGGGAUCACCCCCUUUUGGGGAACCCCAGCCCUACAGACCCCACCCCAAAUUGGGAUCACCCCCUUUUGGGGAGCCCCAACCCUACAGACCCCAUGUCCAACCCCGGAAUCCUCCCCUUUUUGGGAACCCCUUAUUCCACAGGCCCUGCCUAGAGACCCCCCACCCCAUUUUGGGGUCACCCCCUUUCUGGGAACCCCCACGGGGGGGGGGGGGGGGGGGGGGGGGGGGGGGGGGGGGGGGGGGGGGGGGG
ensembl:lncRNA